GCCAGUGUGGCCUAGUGGUUUGAGUGUUGGACUACAACUCUGGAGACCAGGGUUUGAUUCCCAGCUCAGCCA